AUACAUGCAAGUCGAGCGAACUGAUUAGAAGCUUGCUUCUAUGACGUUAGCGGCGGACGGGAGAGUAACACGUGGGCAACCUGCCUGUAAGACUGGGAUAACUUCGGGAAACCGAAGCUAAUACCGGAUAGGAUCUUCUCCUUCAUGGGAGAUGAUUGAAAGAUGGUUUCGGCUAUCACUUACAGAUGGGCCCGCGGUGCAUUAGCUAGUUGGUGAGGUAACGGCUCACCAAGGCAACGAUGCAUAGCCGACCUGAGAGGGUGAUCGGCCACACUGGGACUGAGACACGGCCCAGACUCCUACGGGAGGCAGCAGUAGGGAAUCUUCCGCAAUGGACGAAAGUCUGACGGAGCAACGCCGCGUGAGUGAUGAAGGCUUUCGGGUCGUAAAACUCUGUUGUUAGGGAAGAACAAGUACGAGAGUAACUGCUCGUACCUUGACGGUACCUAACCAGAAAGCCACGGCUAACUACGUGCCAGCAGCCGCGGUAAUACGUAGGUGGCAAGCGUUAUCCGGAAUUAUUGGGCGUAAAGCGCGCGCAGGCGGUUUCUUAAGUCUGAUGUGAAAGCCCACGGCUCAACCGUGGAGGGUCAUUGGAAACUGGGGAACUUGAGUGCAGAAGAGAAAAGCGGAAUUCCACGUGUAGCGGUGAAAUGCGUAGAGAUGUGGAGGAACACCAGUGGCGAAGGCGGCUUUUUGGUCUGUAACUGACGCUGAGGCGCGAAA
rnacentral:rRNA from 2 species